GUGCUGUAUGAAAGGAGAGAAGGUUAGCACUCCCCUUGAGAAGAAUGGAAGUGGUCCUAUUGGCUUUUACAAUGCACAUAUGGUUAAGGCAUUGCCAACAACUUUGUGGCAUCUAACCAAGUUUUUCA